rnacentral:rRNA from 1 species
AGCGGCGGACGGGUAAGUAACGCGUGGGUAACCUGCCCUGUACACACGGAUAACAUACCGAAAGGUAUGCUAAUACGAGAUAAUAUACUUUUAUCGCAUGGUAGAAGUAUCAAAGCUCCGGCGGUACAGGAUGGACCCGCGUCUGAUUAGCUAGUUAGUAAGGUAACGGCUUACCAAGGCGACGAUCAGUAGCCGACCUGAGAGGGUGAUCGGCCACAUUGGAACUGAGACACGGUCCAAACUCCUACGGGAGGCAGCAGUGGGGAAUAUUGCACAAUGGGCGAAAGCCUGAUGCAGCAACGCCGCGUGAGCGAUGAAGGCCUUCGGGUCGUAAAGCUCUGUCCUCAAGGAAGAUAAUGACGGUACUUGAGGAGGAAGCCCCGGCUAACUACGUGCCAGCAGCCGCGGUAAUACGUAGGGGGCUAGCGUUAUCCGGAAUUACUGGGCGUAAAGGGUGCGUAGGUGGUUUCUUAAGUCAGAGGUGAAAGGCUACGGCUCAACCGUAGUAAGCCUUUGAAACUGGGAAACUUGAGUGCAGGAGAGGAGAGUGGAAUUCCUAGUGUAGCGGUGAAAUGCGUAGAUAUUAGGAGGAACACCAGUUGUGAAGGCGGCUCUCUGGACUGUAACUGACACUGAGGCACGAAAGCGUGGGGAGCAAACAGGAUUAGAUACCCUGGUAGUCCACGCCGUAAACGAUGAGUACUAGCUGU